rnacentral:lncRNA from 1 species
CCAUUGAAUAAUAUUUUCUGAAUUAACAUUCGAAUGAAAAGAUAAAAUGUCAACUUCAGAAUUGCGUUCAGAGAAACGAUCUGUGAUUCCUUUCGCCAAACCUUUUGUUGCAAAUAUUUAAUUUUUUCUCUGGUACAGAUUUUUUGUACUUUCUAGCUGUUUUCGCAGACGUUUCUUUUCCGGAGAAUUAAAUAUCUUAUUUGGUGAAACGCUUGUCGAAUUAUCCACAACUACAACAGUUUUAAUAUCAUGUUUACUGUGUCCAGGAAUAGGAGAUGUACCUCUAUGUGUUGUCGUAAUCAUAUUACAUACAGAACUUGAUGCAAUAUUUGUAUUAUGUGAAAUAUCUGCAUUAGGAACUGCAUCAGGAACUAUAUUAAUUACAUCAGCAACCACAUGUACUAUAUACAUAAGUAAACAAAAGAUAUAUUUAUAAG